UCUGGUUGAUCCUGCCAGUAGUCAUAUGCUUGUCUCAAAGAUUAAGCCAUGCAUGUCUAAGUAUAAAUAGUAUACAGUGAAACUGCGAAUGGCUCAUUAAAACAGUUAUAGUUUAUUUGAUAAUUGACAAUUACAUGGAUAACCGUGGUAAUUCUAGAGCUAAUACAUGCUUAAACGCCCGACUUUAUGGAAGGGUGGUAUUUAUUAGACUGAAGCCAAUAUUCCUUGUGUCUAUUGCGGUGAUUCAUAAUAACUGAUCGAAUCUCUUUUUGAGAUAAAUCAUUCAAGUUUCUGCCCUAUCAGCUUUCGAUGGUAGUGUAUUGGACUACCAUGGCAGUAACGGGUAACGAAGAAUUAGGGUUCGAUUUCGGAGAGGGAGCAUGAGAAACGGCUACCACAUCUAAGGAAGGCAGCAGGCGCGUAAAUUACCCAAUCCUGACUCAGGGAGGUAGUGACAAGAAAUAGCAAACCGGGAACCUCAUGGUUUCACGGUAUUGCAAUGAGAACAAUUUAAAACCCUUAGCGAGAAUCAAGUGGAGGACAAGUCUGGUGCCAGCACCCGCGGUAAUUCCAGCUCCACUAGCGUAUAUUAAAGUUGUUGCAGUUAAAAAGCUCGUAGUUGAACCUCUGUCUGGGGCUAGUUUUUGGCUUUGGUCAGGCUAGUUCUAGGCAUCCGCCUACAAGACUUAGAGGGCAUUCAGUUGUUCACUAGGAGGAGUAGGCAUUUUACUUUGAAAAAAUUAGAGUGUUUAAGGCAGGCAAUCGCCCGCAUAUAUUAGCAUGGAAUAAUAGAAUAGGACACUUUUCCAUUUCGUUGGUUAUUGGAAUCGUGUAAUGAUUAAUAGGGACAGUUGUGGGCAUUUGUAUUUAAUUGUCAGAGGUGAAAUUCUUGGAUUUAUUAAAGACAAACUAACGCGAAAGCAUUUGCCAAGGAUGUUUUCAUUAAUCAAGAACGAAAGUUAGGGGAUCAAAGACGAUCAGAUACCGUCCUAGUCUUAACUAUAAACUAUUCCGACUCAAUGUUUGACUGGCUUAUAUAACCAGUUGAGCGUUGUAUGAGAAAUCAAAGUCUUUAGGUUCUGGGGGGAGUAUGGUUGCAAAGCUGAAACUUAAAGGAAUUGACGGAAGAGCACAACCAGGAGUGGAUUCUGCGGCUUAAUUUGACUCAACACGGGGAAACUUACCAGGUUAAAACAAUAGUGGGAUUGACAGUUUGAGAGCGCUUUCUUGAUUGGUUGGGUGGUGGUGCAUGGCCGUUCUUAGUUGGUGGAGUGAUUUGUCUGCUUAAUUGCGUUAACGAACGAGACCUUAACCUGCUUACUAGACUGGCGAUCAUCAAUCGUUAGCUCUUCUUAGAGGGACUUUGGUUGUUUUAACUCCAAGGAAGUUUGUGGCAAUAACAG
rnacentral:rRNA from 1 species